rnacentral:lncRNA from 1 species
UGCCUUUGUCCCUCCGUCCCAGGUCAGAGCAGAUAUGCACCAACAAACUCUUACUGUCCCCUGUGCACACCCAGCUUCCCAUCUGAGCCCGUCAACUCCACAUUUAUCACCCACCUGUCACGCCCCCUGAAUAUGUGCACUUCCUGCUCCGUGCACGACUGGGCGCCCACAUCACUCAUUCUAGGGAGGACACCAGCGGAGAGCCUGGAGGUUGUGGUUGGAAAAGGGAAUUUCAGAGUUUUCAAGCCUGGAGGUGGGCAGUUCUGAAAGGGUGCCUUUAUGGAAAAGCCAGGCUGUAGGAGGGGGAAGCUUCUAGAAAAAAAUAAACACUAAAUCCACUCUGAGACCAAGAUGGGAGAUGGUUUACAAAACGCUGAAGUUGGUAAGAAAAGGGCAGGAAAUGGGGGCAGAGGAGACCUGGAGGUGGAUGUGGGAGGCUGCUGGGAAAGAAGGUGAGGUGAUGCAUAACCCAGGUAGAGAUGGAGGAGCUGAGGAGGGUCAGAGCAGAUAUGCACCAACAAACUCUUACUGUCCCCUGUGCACACCCAGCUUCCCAUCUGAGCCCGUCAACUCCACAUUUAUCACCCACCUGUCACGCCCCCUGAAUAUGUGCACUUCCUGCUCCGUGCACGACUGGGCGCCCACAUCACUCAUUCUAGGGAGGACACCAGCGGAGAGCCUGGAGGUUGUGGUUGGAAAAGGGAAUUUCAGAGUUUUCAAGCCUGGAGGUGGGCAGUUCUGAAAGGGUGCCUUUAUGGAAAAGCCAGGCUGUAGGAGGGGGAAGCUUCUAGAAAAAAAUAAACACUAAAUCCACUCUGAGACCAAGAUGGGAGAUGGUUUACAAAACGCUGAAGUUGGUAAGAAAAGGGCAGGAAAUGGGGGCAGAGGAGACCUGGAGGUGGAUGUGGGAGGCUGCUGGGAAAGAAGGUGAGGUGAUGCAUAACCCAGGUAGAGAUGGAGGAGCUGAGGAGGCUGAGAGGGAGUGUUAGCACCAUGGCAGGUAUCCAGCACUGCCUGCCAAAUGACCGGGCCCAGGAUGCCACCUGGAGGGUGUCCGAGAAGGGGCCUCUGCAGACCCACAGCCCUGCUGGGUCUGACCCAGGCAGCAGCAUGGCAGUAAGGAAAUGAGCCGACAGUGAAACAGCAUGAACCUUAACCACCACCAAGAGCCGGGACUCCCCCAGGGACAAGUCAAGUCAGUCCUCACAGCAGCCCCACCCCAGCACCCGUUUCUGCUUUGGCAUCUGGUCUUCCCAAAGGGGAGGACCAUAUACUGUCGGAGCUGACGUUACCACCAGGGUCAGAUCAGAAGGCAAGCUCAGGUUUAAGACUGAACCCCAACUCUGUACAUCCCUGUGUCAUUCCAUGUCUGAGUCCAGCUCCCUCUUCUACAAAUGACCAAACUGAGGCUUAGAAACAGUCAGCAACCAGAGUCUGAAUUCAAAUCCUCUCAACCGCCUGGCUCCCAGACGUGCUCCCUCAGCCGCCAGACGUGCCCGCCAACCCUCCUUGUUCUUUAUCAGCACAAGGAUGGUGGCUCUGUGGGCUUUGCUCUAGGGUACCCUGCCGUCUCCCCACAUGAAACACUGCAUCUCAUGUGUUCCCAGAGUGAACACACUGCUCUAAGUCUCCUGCAGAGCCUGAGAUGUGCGCCAAGAUCACGUCCUCAGGGAGGGCUGAUUUCCAAGAGUGACAGCAUGUACACGUGUCACCUG